rnacentral:rRNA from 1 species
AUAUAGGUUAAGUUAUUAAGGGCGCAUGGUGGAUGCCUUGGCACUAGGAGCCGAUGAAGGACGUGACUAACUGCGAUAAGCUUCGGGGAGUUGUAAGUAAACUGUGAUCCGGAGAUUUCCGAAUGGGGAAACCCAGCAGGAGUAAAGACCUGUUAUCACUGAGUGAAUACAUAGCUCAGUUGAAGGUAGACGUGGGGAACUGAAACAUCUAAGUACCCAUAGGAAGAGAAAGAAAAUUCGAUUCCCUGAGUAGCGGCGAGCGAAAAGGGAACAGCCCAAACCAGAGAGCUUGCUCUCUGGGGUUGUAGGACUGGACAUUUGAGUUACCAAGAAACGAAGUAGUUGAAUGAUUUGGGAAGAUCAGCCAGAGAAGGUGAUAGCCCUGUAAGCGAAACUUCGUUUCCUCAGCCCAGUAUCCUGAGUACGGCGGAACACGUGAAACUCCGUCGGAAUCCGGGAGGACCAUCUCCCAAGGCUAAAUACUCCCUAGUGACCGAUAGUGAACCAGUACCGUGAGGGAAAGGUGAAAAGCACCCCGGGAGGGGAGUGAAAUAGUUCCUGAAACCAUGUGCCUACAAGUAGUCAGAGCCCGUUAAUGGGUGAUGGCGUGCCUUUUGUAGAAUGAACCGGCGAGUUACGUUAGCGUGCGAGGUUAAGGCGCAAAGGCCGGAGCCGUAGCGAAAGCGAGUCUGAAUAGGGCGAAUGAGUACGUUGACGUAGACCCGAAACCAGGUGACCUACCCAUGUCCAGGUUGAAGGUGCGGUAAGACGCACUGGAGGACCGAACCCGUGUAUGUUGAAAAAUGCUGGGAUGAGGUGUGGGUAGAGGUGAAAUUCCAAACGAACUUGGAGAUAGCUGGUUCUCUCCGAAAUAGCUUUAGGGCUAGCCUCGGAGUUAAGGAUCGUGGAGGUAGAGCACUGUUUGGACUAGGGGCCCGUCUUGGGUUACUGAAUUCAGAUAAACUCCGAAUGCCACAGAUCUAUAUCCGGGAGUCAGACUGCGAGUGAUAAGAUCCGUAGUCGAAAGGGAAACAGCCCAGACCACCGAUUAAGGUCCCUAAAUAUGUGUUAAGUGGAAAAGGAUGUGGAAUUGCACAGACAACUAGGAUGUUGGCUUAGAAGCAGCCACCAUUUAAAGAGUGCGUAAUAGCUCACUAGUCGAGUGAUCCUGCGCCGAAAAUGUAACGGGGCUAAACACAUUACCGAAAUCGUGGAUGCAACUAUGUUGCAUGGUAGGAGAGCGUUCUAAGGGCGAUGAAGCUAGACCGUAAGGACUGGUGGAGCGCUUAGAAGUGAGAAUGCCGGUAUGAGUAGCGAAAGAUCAGUGAGAAUCUGGUCCACCGUAUGACUAAGGUUUCCUGGGGAAGGCUCGUCCUCCCAGGGUUAGUCGGGACCUAAGCCGAGGCCGAGAGGCGUAGGCGAUGGAUAACAGGUUGAGAUUCCUGUACUGGUUUGAUUUGUUUGAACGAUGGAGGGACGCAGGAGGCUAGAGAUGCGUGCUGUUGGAUAUGCACGUCCAAGCAACAAGUCUGAUGAUGAGUCAAAUGCUUAUC